rnacentral:SRP_RNA from 2 species
GCUGGGUGUGGUGGUGUGCACCUGUAGUCUCAGCUACUUGGGAGGCUGAGGCAGGAGGAUCACUUGAGCCUGGGAGGUUGAGGGUGCAGUGAGUCAUGAUUGCAUCACUGCACUCCAGCAUGGGAGACAGAGUGAGACCCUGUCUCAC